GACGAACCGUGCGAACGUUGUUCGGAAUCACUGGGCUUAAAGGGCGCGUAGGCGGCUUGCCAAGUCGGUGGUGAAAUCCUGCAGCUUAACUGUAGAAGUGCCUCCGAUACUGGCGAGCUCGAGGGAGGUAGGGGUCUGUGGAACUUCUGGUGGAGCGGUGAAAUGCGUUGAUAUCAGAAGGAACGCCGGUGGUGAAAGCGACGGACUGGACCUCAUCUGACGCUGAGGCGCGAAAGCUAGGGGAGCAAAUGGG
rnacentral:rRNA from 1 species